rnacentral:rRNA from 1 species
ACGGGGAACGUCAGGCAGGUGGGGAAAUUAUUCCCCAAUGGGGGUAGGCUGUAUGCAGGGACGCCGGUGAGGAUGACGGUCUUUCGGUUGUAACUUCUUUUAGCACGGAGGAGCUGAAAUGGACGGUACGUGCAGAGAAGCGCCGGGUAAUUACGUGCCAGCAGCCGCGGUAAUUCGUAGGGCGGGGACGGUGUCGGGAUAUUGGGCGUAAGAGCUCGUAGGCGGUUUGUCGCGUCUGCUGUGAAAGCCCGGGGCUUAACCCCGGGUGUGCAGUGGGUACGGGCAGACUUGAGUGCAGUAGGGGAGACUGGAAUUCCUGGUGUAGCGGUGAAAUGCGCAGAUAUCAGGAGGAACACCGAUGGCGAAGGCAGGUCUCUGGGCUGUUACUGACGCUGAGGAGCGAAAGCAUGGGGAGCGAACAGGAUUAGAUACCCUGGUAGUCCAUGCCGUAAACGUUGGGCACUAGGUGUGGGGAACAUUCCACGUUUUCCGCGCCGUAGCUAACGCAUUAAGUGCCCCGCCUGGGGAGUACGGCCGCAAGGCUAAAACUCAAAGGAAUUGACGGGGGCCCGCACAAGCGGCGGAGCAUGCGGAUUAAUUCGAUGCAACGCGAAGAACCUUACCAAGGCUUGACAUACACCGGACCGGGCCAGAGAUGGUCUUUCCCCCUUGUGGGGCUGGUGUACAGGUGGUGCAUGGUUGUCGUCAGCUCGUGUCGUGAGAUGUUGGGUUAAGUCCCGCAACGAGCGCAACCCUCGUUCUAUGUUGCCAGCACGUGAUGGUGGGGACUCAUAGGAGACUGCCGGGGUCAACUCGGAGGAAGGUGGGGAUGACGUCAAAUCAUCAUGCCCCUUAUGUCUUGGGCUUCACGCAUGCUACAAUGGCCAGUACAAUGGGUUGCGAUGCCGCGAGGUGGAGCUAAUCCCAAAAAGCUGGUCUCAGUUCGGAUCGUGGUCUGCAACUCGACCACGUGAAGUCGGAGUCGCUAGUAAUCGCAGAUCAGCAACGCUGCGG